rnacentral:rRNA from 1 species
AUUGAACGCUGGCGGCAUGCCUUACACAUGCAAGUCGAACGGUAACGGGCCUUCGGGUGCCGACGAGUGGCGAACGGGUGAGUAAUGCAUCGGAACGUACCUUUCAGUGGGGGAUAACGUAGCGAAAGUUACGCUAAUACCGCAUAUUCUGUGAGCAGGAAAGCAGGGGAUCGCAAGACCCUUCGCUUAUUGAGUGGCCGAUGUCAGAUUAGCUAGUUGGUGAGGUAAAGGCUCACCAAGGCGACGAUCUGUAGCGGGUCUGAGAGGAUGAUCCGCCACACUGGAACUGAGACACGGUCCAGACUCCUACGGGAGGCAGCAGUGGGGAAUUUUGGACAAUGGGGGCAACCCUGAUCCAGCCAUGCCGCGUGAGUGAAGAAGGCCUUCGGGUUGUAAAGCUCUUUCGGUCGGGAAGAAAUCGCAUGGGUUGAUACCCUGUGCGGAUGACGGUACCGGCAUAAGAAGCACCGGCUAACUACGUGCCAGCCGCCGCCGUAAUAC